rnacentral:tRNA from 1 species
GGCGGGAUAGCUCAAUUGGCUAGAGCAUUCGGUUCAUACCCGGAGUGUCGGGGGUUCAAAUCCCUCUCCCGCUACCA